AGAUGGUUUGUUGCCUACGUCUCUUCUAGUGAAGUGAAGGUUUGAGUCAGUUAUUCAGUUACUUGAAGCAAAAUGACAUCUUUGAUUUCAUUGAAAGAACUACAGAGGCAGGAGAUAGUGGACAGUUGCCCUAAGCCCUCACUUGACUGAUCAGGAAAGACUGAGGCUCUGGCUGUGUACAGAAUAGUGUUUCAUCAGUACCUCACAUGCCUUAGGUGGACUCAAGAUUGCUUUAAAGUUUGUGUUGAACAACAGUACAUUUUGCACUAGUAAUAUGAGCACUAACUCUGUAUUAUACAGCAGUUAGGGAAUUGUUUUGAAGAAUUGGUUCAGUGUAGACAUUUCGAAAAGAUGAAGUUCUCUGUGCUUUAUGAUAGCUUAGUGCAAUAUGCCCGUUUGCUUUACUUCCCAUUUUCCUGCUUUUAUUUUUCCUGUGAUAUGAAGCAACAGAAACUGAAAGAUCAAAAUUGAGAUUAUAUCCUAUUGAUAGAUUCAGAGUUUUAUCUGUGUAUAAUUAUAGGAUUGUAAUCUAAACUGGAAGUUGUCAGUAGUAAGCCACUAUAAAAUGUUCUAGAUAAGACAUAAAAUUACUAUAAAUAAAAGCAUAGCAUUUGUAAAGGUUUCUUUUUUAGUAUUUCUUUUCCACAAGAAGAAAUAGUGGUGGCUGCUAAAAAAGCUACAGUGUUUAUUAAGGUUGUUUUUGGUGUAAAUAUUUGUAAAUUGGUCAGUGCCUGAAUGCUAAGACUUGCUUUUUGACUUGUAAAAGGUGCAUAUUUUCAUUUUUUUCUUUAAGUUUAAAAUUUUGUAUGAUCAAAUGGAAUAAAGUUUAUAUAUG
rnacentral:lncRNA from 1 species